rnacentral:rRNA from 1 species
GAUGAACGCUGGCGGCGUGCCUAAUACAUGCAAGUCGAGCGAACAGAUGAGGAGCUUGCUCCUCUGACGUUAGCGGCGGACGGGUGAGUAACACGUGGAUAACCUACCUAUAAGACUGGGAUAACUUCGGGAAACCGGAGCUAAUACUGGAUAAUAUAUUGAACCGCAUGGUUCAAUAGUGAAAGACGGUUUUGCUGUCACUUAUAGAUGGAUCCGCGCCGCAUUAGCUAGUUUGUAAGGUAACGGCUUACCAAGGCAACGAUGCGUAGCCGACCUGAGAGGGUGAUCGGCCACACUGGAACUGAGACACGGUCCAGACUCCUACGGGAGGCAGCAGUAGGGAAUCUUCCGCAAUGGGCGAAAGCCUGACGGAGCAACGCCGCGUGAGUGAUGAAGGUCUUCGGAUCGUAAAACUCUGUUAUUAGGGAAGAACAAAUGUGUAAGUAACUAUGCACGUCUUGACGGUACCUAAUCAGAAAGCCACGGCUAACUACGUG